CCUACGGGAGGCAGCAGUGGGGAAUAUUGGGCAAUGGGCGCAAGCCUGACCCAGCAACGCCGCGUGAAGGAAGAAGGCUUUCGGGUUGUAAACUUCUUUUCUGAGGGACGAAGAAAGUGACGGUACCUUAGGAAUAAGCCACGGCUAACUACGUGCCAGCAGCCGCGGUAAUACGUAGGUGGCAAGCGUUAUCCGGAUUUACUGGGGGUAAAGGGCGUGUAGGCGGGUAAGCAAGUCAGAUGUGAAAACUCAGGGCUUAACCCCGAGCCUACAUUUGAAACUGUUUUUCUUGAGUGCUGGAGGGGCAAACGGAAUUCCGUGUGUAGCGGUGGAAUGCGUAGAUAUACGGAGGAACACCAGUGGCGAAGGCGGAUUGCUGGACAGUAACUGACGCUGAGGCACGAAAGCGUGGGGAGCAAACAGGAUUAGAUACCCUUGUAGUC
rnacentral:rRNA from 1 species